rnacentral:rRNA from 1 species
AUGAGCCACAAAAAACCAAAAUACCCGAGAACUACGAACUAAGGUUUAAAACUCAAAGGACUUGGCGGUUUUUUAGAUCUUCCUGGAGGAGCUUGCCAUCUAACCGAUAACCCACGAAAGACCUUACCAGCUUUUGAACAUCCAACUUGUAUACCAUCGUCGUCAGUCUACCCUCCAAGGGAAGUAUACCCAAAUGAGUACCUCUCACUACGUCAGAUCGAGGUGCAGUUUAUAAGCUGGGGAUCGGUGAGCUACAAUACUUAACCAACCCAAGCACAACUCUGGACAGCCCUAUGAAAAAAGCCUUGAAACAGGAUUCAGCAGUAACGUUUAACAGAAAGUAAACGUGAAGACUAGCCAGCU